CAAGAGAGGAAGAGAAGAGUGAGAGAGGGAAAGUAAUCCCACAAAAUUGUAAGGUGUUUGUGAGAGAGUAAGUGAGGUGUUUUCUCCUAUUAAUAGAGAGAUUUCAGUUGUUCUCCUAUUAGUAGAGAGAGGUUGUAAUUCCCACAUUACUUAGUAAAAUCCUUCUAUACUUGCCCGUGGACGUAGCCAAAUUGGGUGAACCACGUAAAUUCUUGUGUGUCUAAUUUCUCAUUUUAUC